UCUUUCCCUGUUGAAUCAAUAGCAGUAAUAUCCAAAAGAAUCAGAGUUAUUUGCUAACUAUACCUGAGCUGUUUGGCCCUUUCAAACCUCUUCCCCAGAUUACCCUGAGCAGAUGGGUUGAUGUGAGUCCCUGUGAAGGUCUUUUCUGCCUUGAGAGCAGGUUGUUGGCCAAGCCCAGGGGAGAGCCAUUUGGACCUCACUCUCACAGAAGGCAGGUCCCAGGAAGGUCCCCAGGGCAUCCAGUGAAAGUUUAUUCACCCUCCCCUGGGAGCAACUCUGAGACUAGCAGAACUGACAGUCUCAUAGCUGUGAACACCAGUAUGUACCAUUUCAUGCAAGUCAAUGUGAAGAUCCAUUGAUGUUCCCGCCAGGGAUUCAGAGACCCUUCUCCCUUCCCUGCAUCAGCCUGCAGCGGCAGAGUGGCACUCUCAAAGCUUCAAAGGAAAGAAGGAAGAGAUGGGAGAGGACAAAAGUCUUUUGCAGAGUGGGAAGGAGACCCAGAUUCUCAGAUUCCAUCCAGGGGAUAAUUUACAGAGUCAUCAGUCACUUCACUGCAGCUGUGAGCUCUACCCGAACGCGGCAAACGCACCUUGAAAGUGAAACCAACUACAAGUGGGAAGCAAGGAAGACUGUCUUUGAGGGAAGUAGAAAUGACUGUCCUGCAAAUGGCGUAUCUACUGAUGGAAACCCUCGCCGUUUUCUAGAAAAACAUCCAAAAUGAUUCACUAAGAUUUAUGUGACUCUCAUAAAUGAAAUGAGAAUGAUUUCAGCUUCAAAGAAUUAUUCUGGUCUAAAAAUCACACGAGGAUGUCCCUAUAUAAUUUAUUUAACAUAAGGGCGAAGGAAAGCCUGUCUUUGUGGCGCCCCUUCGCCCUCCAGAUUGUACUAACCCUGUAUCCGGUUGGGAAUUUUUUGUGAGUGGACGUUAGCUCAAGUCCCUUGAGCUAAAACUGUAAAUGAAUCAUACAGAACGGGCUGACAAAGUGACUGCGCUUCCCAAAUUCGAAAAUGUGACUUGAACGUGAACCAGACAUUUGUUUUCCCAAACCCCACGAGAUUCUAGAAGCGUCAGGGCCUCCCGGAAGGGCCGGGCUGUGGCCACUCUUGGUGGGGCCCGCGUCCCCUUGGACCAAGUGGAAGGAGUCAGAACGCACCCCCAGCCGACUCCUGCCUUCCAUCUGAGUGCCGUUGAACGCUGCGUUUCCGUGAGAAGUUCGGCGUUAGCCUCGGGGCUUUACUCCUGACACCGCUACUAAUUCAUUACUUUAUACGCGCAGUCGCCCUUCUGAAAGGAGAAUCUUGUUUCAGAAUUGCACCUGGACAUUUUAAAGUAAAUAUGAUGCAAAUCCUUA